rfam:Cavia porcellus supercont2_17 genomic scaffold, whole genome shotgun sequence.
GGGGAUUUAGCUCAGUGGUAUAAGUACCUGCUUGGUAAGCAUGAGGUCAUGAUUUCAAUCCCCA